rnacentral:lncRNA from 1 species
UUUUAUCUUUGUAACCGGAGAGCACGAAUUUCAUUACAAAAUUGCUUGUCUCCACCGGGACUCGAACCCGGGACCUCUGUGUUACAAGGCAGCGCGCUAACCGACUGAGCUAAAGAAGUACUUCCUUAGCUCAACCGCUUACGGCUGACUAAGUAUCUACCAAAUGUUCUAAGGGAAGCAAUCCCGUCACACUUCCCCCACCUCAAGAGUCAUCAUACCAUUAUGACUCUCACACAAACAUACCCUAGUUAGAAUUCCUCUCUAACUACCGUGGGUUUUUUAGUUGGGCGCCAAUGUAACCGGAGAGCACGAAUUUCAUUACAAAAUUGCUUGUCUCCACCGGGACUCGAACCUGGGACCUCUGUGUUACAAGGCAGCGCGCUAACCGACUGAGCUAAAGAAGUACUUCCUUAGCUCAACCGCUUACGGCUGACUAAGUAUCUACCAAAUGUUCUAAG